UACGUAGGGGGCAAGCGUUGUCCGGAAUCAUUGGGCGUAAAGAGCGUGUAGGCGGCUCGGUAAGUCCGCUCUGAAAGCCCGGGGCUCAACCCCGGGAGGCGGGCGGAUACUGUCGGGCUAGAGUCCGGAAGAGGCGAGUGGAAUUCCUGGUGUAGCGGUGAAAUGCACAGAUAUCAGGAGGAACACCAAUGGCGAAGGCAGCUCGCUGGGACGGUACUGACGCUGAGACGCGAAAGCGUGGGGAGCAAACAGG
rnacentral:rRNA from 1 species